rnacentral:tRNA from 1 species
GAGGGAAUAGCUCAGCAGUAAAGUGCGUGCUUAGCAUGCACAAGGUCCUGGGUUCAAUCCUCAGUACCGCCA